rnacentral:snRNA from 1 species
UUGCUUUGGCAACACAUACUCUAAAAUUGGAAUGAAACAGAGAAUAUUAGCAUGGCCCCUGCGCAAGGAUGACAUGCAAAUUCAUGAAGUGUUCCAUAUUUUU